UACGGGCAGCAGUGGGGAAUAUUGCACAAUGGGCGCAAGCCUGAUGCAGCCAUGCCGCGUGUAUGAAAAAGGCCUUCGGGUUGUAAAGUACUUUCAGUCGUGAGGAAGGUGUUAAGGUUAAUAACCUUAGCAAUUGACGUUAGCGACAGAAGAAGCACCGGCUAACUCCGUGCCAGCAGCCGCGGUAAUACGGAGGGUGCGAGCGUUAAUCGGAAUUACUGGGCGUAAAGGGCACGCAGGCGGUUAAUUAAGUUGGAUGUGAAAUCCCCGGGCUUAACCUGGGAAUGGCAUUCAAGACUGGUUAGCUAGAGUCUUGUAGAGGGGGUAGAAUUCCAUGUGUAGCGGUGAAAUGCGUAGAGAUGUGGAGGAAUACCGGUGGCGAAGGCGGCCCCUGGACAAAGACUGACGCUCAUGUGCGAAAGCGUGGGGAGCAAACAGGGAUUAGAUACC
rnacentral:rRNA from 1 species